CCUCCAAGGCUAAAUACUCCUGACUGACCGAUAGUGAACCAGUACCGUGAGGGAAAGGCGAAAAGAACCCCGGCGAGGGGAGUGAAAAAGAACCUGAAACCGUGUACGUACAAGCAGUGGGAGCACGCUUAGGCGUGUGACUGCGUACCUUUUGUAUAAUGGGUCAGCGACUUAUAUUCUGUAGCAAGGUUAACCGAAUAGGGGAGCCGAAGGGAAACCGAGUCUUAACUGGGCGUUAAGUUGCAGGGUAUAGACCCGAAACCCGGUGAUCUAGCCAUGGGCAGGUUGAAGGUUGGGUAACACUAACUGGAGGACCGAACCGACUAAUGUUGAAAAAUUAGCGGAUGACUUGUGGCUGGGGGUGAAAGGCCAAUCAAACCGGGAGAUAGCUGGUUCUCCCCGAAAGCUAUUUAGGUAGCGCCUCGUGAAUUCAUCUCCGGGGGUAGAGCACUGUUUCGGCAAGGGGGUCAUCCCGACUUACCAACCCGAUGCAAACUGCGAAUACCGGAGAAUGUUAUCACGGGAGACACACGGCGGGUGCUAACGUCCGUCGUGAAGAGGGAAACAACCCAGACCGCCAGCUAAGGUCCCAAAGUCAUGGUUAAGUGGGAAACGAUGUGGGAAGGCCCAGACAGCCAGGAUGUUGGCUUAGAAGCAGCCAUCAUUUAAAGAAAGCGUAAUAGCUCACUGGUCGAGUCGGCCUGCGCGGAAGAUGUAACGGGGCUAAACCAUGCACCGAAGCUGCGGCAGCGACGCUUAUGCGUUGUUGGGUA
rnacentral:rRNA from 1 species